CGCCCGUCCCGGCCCGGCCGCGGCCUCGCUGCAGCGGCGGCACCGGAAACCGACCGGCCGGACGGGCCCCGCCCGCCGUGACGUCAAUGCGCCUCGCUCUCGCCCGGGCCCGUCGCCGCGGGAAACAAGUAUUCCUUUGUGCUUGAUGCAAUCCCUGCUGGAGUCCUGGAGCCAGGAGAGGAACAGAACCAGCUUCCAGGAGGAGAACUGUGAAGCCACUGGACACAGCUUCCCCCAGUCAUGAUAUUUUUGAAAAUGGCUUUGAAGUGAUGACUCUGUGAUACCUGCAUCUUGUGAUCAGGGUUCUUCCAAACUCAGAAUGGCCUCUGACAACCAAUCCAGCUCUCUGCUUUCUUCUCACUUUGCCAUUGCAUAAGAGGAAAAAUCUCCUUAUCUGCGCUGACAGAAACAAUGAGUAAACUCAUCAAAGAUGAGGAGAGCACAGGUAUAAACUCCACUUUCCUCUCUCUAGCAUUGCAUUGCAAUGCUCAGCCCUCUCUGAUAUCAGUGC